rnacentral:rRNA from 1 species
GAGGGAAAGGCGAAAAGAACCCCGGCGAGGGGAGUGAAAAAGAACCUGAAACCGUGUACGUACAAGCAGUGGGAGCACGCUUAGGCGUGUGACUGCGUACCUUUUGUAUAAUGGGUCAGCGACUUAUAUUCUGUAGCAAGGUUAACCGAAUAGGGGAGCCGAAGGGAAACCGAGUCUUAACUGGGCGUUAAGUUGCAGGGUAUAGACCCGAAACCCGGUGAUCUAGCCAUGGGCAGGUUGAAGGUUGGGUAACACUAACUGGAGGACCGAACCGACUAAUGUUGAAAAAUUAGCGGAUGACUUGUGGCUGGGGGUGAAAGGCCAAUCAAACCGGGAGAUAGCUGGUUCUCCCCGAAAGCUAUUUAGGUAGCGCCUCGUGAAUUCAUCUCCGGGGGUAGAGCACUGUUUCGGCAAGGGGGUCAUCCCGACUUACCAACCCGAUGCAAACUGCGAAUACCGGAGAAUGUUAUCACGGGAGACACACGGCGGGUGCUAACGUCCGUCGUGAAGAGGGAAACAACCCAGACCGCCAGCUAAGGUCCCAAAGUCAUGGUUAAGUGGGAAACGAUGUGGGAAGGCCCAGACAGCCAGGAUGUUGGCUUAGAAGCAGCCAUCAUUUAAAGAAAGCGUAAUAGCUCACUGGUCGAGUCGGCCUGCGCGGAAGAUGUAACGGGGCUAAACCAUGCACCGAAGCUGCGGCAGCGACGCUUAUGCGUUGUUGGGUAGGGGAGCGUUCUGUAAGCCUGUGAAGGUGUGCUGUGAGGCAUGCUGGAGGUAUCAGAAGUGCGAAUGCUGACAUAAGUAACGAUAAAGCGGGUGAAAAGCCCGCUCGCCGGAAGACCAAGGGUUCCUGUCCAACGUUAAUCGGGGCAGGGUGAGUCGACCCCUAAGGCGAGGCCGAAAGGCGUAGUCGAUGGGAAACAGGUUAAUAUUCCUGUACUUGGUGUUACUGCGAAGGGGGGACGGAGAAGGCUAUGUUGGCCGGGCGACGGUUGUCCCGGUUUAAGCGUGUAGGCUGGUUUUCCAGGCAAAUCCGGAAAAUCAAGGCUGAGGCGUGAUGACGAGGCACUACGGUGCUGAAGCAACAAAUGCCCUGCUUCCAGGAAAAGCCUCUAAGCAUCAGGUAACAUCAAAUCGUACCCCAAACCGACACAGGUGGUCAGGUAGAGAAUACCAAGGCGCUUGAGAGAACUCGGGUGAAGGAACUAGGCAAAAUGGUGCCGUAACUUCGGGAGAA